UGAUUCGUUGACCUCAGCUCAGUCGUGAUU
rnacentral:rRNA from 2 species